GAUUCAAACCCUUACUUGAUCAAACAAGGCUAUGUCUCUCCCGCUCUCCGAACCCGAUCGCCAUCGCCACCGUCACCGCCACCGCCACCAUUCUUCAAUCCUUCAUCCGCUCGUUCAGUGCUUCUUCCGCACGCUCUAAACUCCAGACUGAUCCAGUUUGAGAAAUGGCGAAAGGUUUUGUAUGGGCAACAACAGAGGAUUUAGCGAGGAACCAUGGGCGUGUUAUAUCUCUUUAUCGCCAGAUAUUGCGGAGCCUCAACUCCCCAAAUUUGCCUCUCAGCUUUGCAGCUAGAUUAGCAAAGAAGGUGGAGGUUCGUGGCAUUUUCUUGCUUGCUUCUGAAGAGCGAUCUCUUCACAAUAUUGAAGAACUCAUUGACACUGCUAAGUACUCCCUCUCUCUUUUAAGGAAGGGAGAAAUUCCCAAAUAUGUUCAAUGAGUUUCCUUUUCUUCUCUAUCUUCAUGAAUGACUUAUACUGGUGCUUUCCCUUGGUCUAAAUUUCUUAUAGUUAACUUUUGGGUCUGCUAUAAAGUUUUAUAUUUGAAUGCUUGAUACUAAUCUAUGUAAACUUUAAUGUUUAGAUUCUAUUUUGAUCCUUGGA